AACAUCAGGUUUUAACAUUUUCCCUGCCACAUCGCCUUACUUAUAUACAUUUUGGCCAGCAGAUGGCAGCACUCAACCAAGGUUAUUUUCAGCAAAACUCCAGACAAAACCUGAGAUUGCAAAGAGGGGAGGUAAAACAAUGAGACAUCUUCAACCCAGGAGUUGAAGGUGACAAUGUCAUUAUGUGAUGUACAGUCACUAUAGGGAGAUGCCAUUUUUAUUGGCACUUAAGUGAUGAGGCAGGAAGGAAAGAACUUGUAAACAGUGAGACUUGGAAGAAACUCCACUUGGUUCUCUCUCUCCUCUCCUCUGUCUUCUCCCCCAAAGCCCAGAACUGCUCCCAUGAAAGUCUGAUACCCGACCCCCUUAUCUCAGCCAUCUUUACUAGUUGCUGAGCCCCAGGGCAGGCCAGAGACAGGUUUAAAACACCACAGCUAGCAGGUGCCAGAGCUAGGACUUAAAGACAAGAAUUUGGAUAAGCCCAGUCCUUCCACUGGAACGGAAACUGGUUCUGAGCUCAUGCCAUUUAUUUGCAAAAUGAGUGGGCUCAAAGGUAACAGGGACCUGGGCACCAAGGAUUCCCUGAUGAAGAAUCCUUGCAGUUCAUUUUGACCCACAAUAUCCCGAGACAGACCUUUUGUAUUGCUUUGGAGCCUCUUCCCACAUCUGCAGCUGAAUGUGACAGGAUGUGGGUAAGAGGACUUAGAUACCGCGAUGCAGGAAUCCC